AAAAACAUCUUUUCUUGUUAGUUUCUGAAGUAUGGCCUGCCCGCUGACGUAUUUUGAGUUGAAGGGCCGCGGUAUUUUGACCGUGCAAAGGUAGCAUAGUCAUUAGUUCUUUAAUUGUGAUCUGGUAUGAAUGGCUUGACGAGACAUAGGCUGUCUUAGUGUGAAUUUAUUGUUGAAUUUGGAGUUUAAGUUAAAAUUCUUAGAUGUUUUUAUGGGACGAGAAGACCCUAUAGAGUUUUACAUUUGAUUAUGCAUUUCUUUUUGUUUGUUUUAGGUUUUUGCGUGUCUUUUGUUUUGUUGGGGUGAUGGGAGGAAUUUAUUUAACUCCUCUUUUUAUGUGAUAUAUUGAUUUAUAUUUGUUUUGAUCCAUUUAUUUUGAUUGUAAGACUAAAUUACCUUAGGGAUAACAGCGUUAUCCUCCCUGAGAGUUCUUAUUGGCGGGGGGGUUUGCGACCUCGAUGUUGGAUUAAGGUUUAUUUUUGGUGUAGGAGC
rnacentral:rRNA from 1 species